rnacentral:misc_RNA from 1 species
CCGAGUUUACAAACUCCCAAACCCUUUGUGAACCUUACCGUAUCGUUGCGUCGGCGGGACCGCCCCGGCGCCCUCGGGCCCGGAACCAGGCGCCCGCCGGAGGCCCCAAACCCUCAUGUCUUUAGUGGUUUUCUCCUCUGAGUGACACAUAAAACAAAUAAAUAAA